CCUUCGGUAGCUCAGUUGGUAGAGCGGAGGACUGUAGAUCCUUAGGUCACUGGUUCAAUUCCGGUCCGAAGGA